GGUGUGCAAUGCAUUCUCUAGAAGACAGGAGACAGAUGUAGCUGCAUAUCCACAUAAAGGAGCCAGCAUGGUGUAGUGGUUAGAGUGCGGGACUAGGACCAAGGAGACCCGGGUUCAAAUCCCCAUUCAGCCAUGAAACUAGCUGGGUGACUCUGGGCCAGUCACUUCUCUCUCAGCCUAACCUACUUCUCAGGGUUGUUGUGAGGAGAAACUUCAGUAUGUAGUACACCACUCUGGGCUCCUUGGAGGAAGAGUGGGAUAGAAAAUGUUAAAAAUAAAAUAAAAUAAAAUAAAAUAAAUAAAUAAAAAUGAUUAGGUUGUGCUAAUCAGUUACUGGUGUAAUAGAGCUGAUCUAGCAUAGGGCCUAUGGAACUGAAUUACGAAUCACCAGGUAGUCUUGGCAACGUGGGAAUAAUUGUAUUUACCUAGCUGACAGAAACAAAUCAAAGCAGAGAGGCAAAAGACAGUGGCUGAGUUUGAACAACUGUGCCAGUUUCUAGAAUCUAGAACAACAGGAGAAGCUUCUGCUGACCCAGAUGGAAAAGGUGGAGGAAGAGAUUGCAAGAAGAAAGGAUGAACACAUGGCCAGACUCUCAGAGGAGCUCUCUUCUCUUGUGAGAUGGAGAAGCAUCGGAAGCCAUACAGUAAAUUCAUUCUGCAAGCUGGUUUAUCCUUGCCUCUCACCUGAACUGAGGCCAGUAAUCUGUAUUUCAUCCAAGACUUCAGAAUCUGGCACCCACAGCUCUUCGCCUUGUUCCAGUCGAGAGAUGAGAUCAGGCUUGGGAACCGGAAAUCCUGCUCAGGAAAAACCACAACAAAGAGGGUCACUUCUAUUUUUUAUUUAUUUUGUCUUUCCGUCACCCUCAAAAGCUUUCGAAGAGAAUCAAAGUGGAGCCAGUCUCUCUCCACUACCACCGUCCAUAAAGAGAAAUGCAAAACUAAAAGCAGCCUCGGACAAGUGCUACAGGCAGAUGUUUACAGUCCAACCCUAUGCACAUUUGUUUGCAAUUAAACCACCAUUGUUUCUAUAAGGCUUUCUCCCAAACAAGGGUACACAGAACUGCAGUUUUAUAUUGUGUUUUCUGAGCGUUCAGAAGGUUACAUACAAAUUAGACACAAAGGGAGCAGCCACCAUCGCCGUCAUUCAAGCUCUAAGAAGGACACCCAAUUUCCGCCCCUUUCCCCUCCUCACCACCAUUCACGAAACGUGCGGGAUUCAGACGAUGCUCUUCCGUGCUACUUACUGCUGAAACAACCUGCAGACAAAACCCUCCCGCCUUUGUCCGGGCGGGGACCACAUGCAGUGUAGCGCCUUCCCAAGAUCCUUGUAGACAGCAGCCAAUCACUCAGCCCACUCUCUCGUCUCAGCCAACCAGACUGCGGCAUGACAAGGACUCCAGCAGCUGGGAAUGACAAAUCCUUCCUCUCUCUCUCAUCAAGUAAAAAGCCACAAUGCAGAGGACUGUGGGAAUGGUAGUUCUUUCUUCCAAGUAUUUAACAUUUUGUUAAUAAGCUGGAGGCGGAAGGCGAGGUUGAAGAUGUGUCAAACCGUGCGGA